rnacentral:rRNA from 1 species
AGUGAACGCUGGCGGUAGGCCUAACACAUGCAAGUCGAGCGGAAGCACAGUAAGAGUUUGCUCUUACGGGUGGCGAGUGGCGGACGGGUAACGAAUAGAUAGGCAUCUAAUUUUUCGUGGGGGACAACGUAGAGAAACUUACGCUAACACCGCAUACGUUGUACCGGAGAAAGCAGUGGAUAUUCGCACUUUUGCUGUCUCAUUUAGACGAUGUCGGAUUUGCUAGUUGGCGGGGUAAAGGCCCACCAAGGCAACGAUACGUAGCUGGUCUGAGAGGAUGAUCAGCCACACUGGAACUGAGACACGGUCCAGACUCCUACGGGAGGCAGCAGUAGGGAAUAUUGGGCAAUGGGCGCAAGCCUGAUGCAGCAAUGCCGCGUGGGUGAUGAAGGCCUUCGGAUUGUAAAACCCUUUUGUUAGGGAAGAAAAGCUGUGUAAGAAUAUCCGGCUGUUCUGACGGUACCCAAUGAGUAAGCACCGGCUAACUUCGUG